GAUGAACGCUGGCGGCGUGCCUAAUACAUGCAAGUCGAGCGAACAGACGAGGAGCUUGCUCCUCUGACGUUAGCGGCGGACGGGUGAGUAACACGUGGAUAACCUACCUAUAAGACUGGGAUAACUUCGGGAAACCGGAGCUAAUACCGGAUAAUAUAUUGAACCGCAUGGUUCAAUAGUGAAAGACGGUUUUGCUGUCACUUAUAGAUGUAUCCGCGCCGCAUUAGCUAGUUGGUAAGGUAACGGCUUACCAAGGCAACGAUGCGUAGCCGACCUGAGAGCGUGAACGGCCACACUGGAACUGAGACACGGUCCAGACUCCUACGGGAGGCCGCGGUAGGGAAUCUUCCGAAAUGGGCGAAAGCCUGACGGAGCAACGCCGCGUGAGUGAUGCAGGUCUUCGGAUCGUAAAACUCUGUUAUUAGGGAAGAACAAAUGUGUAAGUAACUAUGCACGUCUUGACGGUACCUACACAGAAAGCACCGGCUAACUACGUG
rnacentral:rRNA from 1 species